AUUGAACGCUGGCGGCAGGCCUAACACAUGCAAGUCGAGCGGAUGAGGGGAGCUUGCUCCUGGAUUCAGCGGCGGACGGGUGAGUAAUGCCUAGGAAUCUGCCUGGUAGUGGGGGAUAACGUCCGGAAACGGGCGCUAAUACCGCAUACGUCCUGAGGGAGAAAGUGGGGGAUCUUCGGACCUCACGCUAUCAGAUGAGCCUAGGUCGGAUUAGCUAGUUGGUGGGGUAAAGGCCUACCAAGGCGACGAUCCGUAACUGGUCUGAGAGGAUGAUCAGUCACACUGGAACUGAGACACGGUCCAGACUCCUACGGGAGGCAGCAGUGGGGAUUAUUGGACAAUGGGCGAAAGCCUGAUCCAGCCAUGCCGCGUGUGUGAAGAAGGUCUUCGGAUUGUAAAGCACUUUAAGUUGGGAGGAAGGGCAGUAAGUUAAUACCUUGCUGUUUUGACGUUACCAACAGAAUAAGCACCGGCUAACUUCGUG
rnacentral:rRNA from 1 species